UUCCUGAAUUACAUUCAAAUGAGCGUAUAGCUCAUAGUUAUUCAUUCAGAAAAGGAGUUUACGAUUCAGAGAACCUUCAUCCUCCACGCGGCGUGGCUGGUUCAGGGUUGCCCCCAUUGACCAAUAUUCCCUA
rnacentral:rRNA from 1 species